rnacentral:rRNA from 1 species
UACGUAGGUGGCAAGCGUUUGUCCGGAUUUAUUGGGUUUAAAGGGUGCGUAGGCGGCUAAAUAAGUCAGUGGUGAAAGCCCGCAGCUCAACUGCGGAAUUGCCAUUGAAACUGUCUAGCUUGAAUCUGGUUGAAGUGGGCGGAAUACAUCAUGUAGCGGUGAAAUGCUUAGAUAUGAUGUAGAACACCGAUUGCGAAGGCAGCUCACUAAGCCAACAUUGACGCUGAGGCACGAAAGCGUGGGUAGCGAACAGG